AUUGAACGCUGGCGGCAGGCCUAACACAUGCAAGUCGAACGGUAACAGGAAGAAGCUUGCUUCUUUGCUGACGAGUGGCGGACGGGUGAGUAAUGUCUGGGAAACUGCCUGAUGGAGGGGGAUAACUACUGGAAACGGUAGCUAAUACCGCAUAACGUCGCAAGACCAAAGAGGGGGACCUUCGGGCCUCUUGCCAUCGGAUGUGCCCAGAUGGGAUUAGCUAGUAGGUGGGGUAACGGCUCACCUAGGCGACGAUCCCUAGCUGGUCUGAGAGGAUGACCAGCCACACUGGAACUGAGACACGGUCCAGACUCCUACGGGAGGCAGCAGUGGGGAAUAUUGCACAAUGGGCGCAAGCCUGAUGCAGCCAUGCCGCGUGUAUGAAGAAGGCCUUCGGGUUGUAAAGUACUUUCAGCGGGGAGGAAGGGAGUAAAGUUGAUACCUUUGCUCAUUGAUGUUACCCGCAGAAGAAGCACCGGCUAACUCCGUG
rnacentral:rRNA from 1 species